rnacentral:rRNA from 1 species
CAGUAGCCGCGGUAAUACGUAGGUGGCAAGCGUUGUCCGGAAUUAUUGGGCGUAAAGGGCUCGCAGUCGGUUUCUUAAGUCUGAUGUGAAAGCCCCCGGCUCAACCGGGGAGGGUCAUCGGAAACUGGGAAACUUGAGUGCAGAAGAGGAGAGUGGAAUUCCACGUGUAGCGGUGAAAUGCGUAGAGAUGUGGAGGAACACCAGUGGCGAAGGCGACUCUCUGGUCUGUAACUGACGCUGAGGAGCGAAAGCGUGGGGAGCGAACAGGAUUAGAUACCCCGGUAGUCCCUGUCUCUUAUAC